UACGUAGGGUGCGAGCGUUGUCCGGAAUUACUGGGCGUAAAGAGCUUGUAGGUGGUUUGUCGCGUUGUUCGUGAAAUCUCACGGCUCAACUGUGAGCGUGCGGGCGAUACGGGCAGACUAGAGUACUGGCAGGGGAGACUGGAAUUCCUGGUGUAGCGGUGAAAUGCGCAGAUAUCGGGAGGAACACCGGUGGCGAAGGCGGGUCUCUGGGCCGAUACUGACGCUGAGGAGCGAAAGCGUGGGGAGCGAACAGG
rnacentral:rRNA from 1 species